rnacentral:rRNA from 1 species
AAUAGAUACCCCGGUAGUCCACGCCCUAAACGAUGGAUACUAGGUGUAGGGGGUAUCGACUCCCCCUGUGCCGUCGCAAACGCAAUAAGUAUCCCGCCUGGGGAGUACGGCCGCAAGGUUAAAACUCAAAGGAAUUGACGGGGACCCGCACAAGCAGUGGAGCAUGUGGUUUAAUUCGAAGCAACGCGAAGAACCUUACCAGGGCUUGACAUCCCGCUGACCGGUGUAGAGAUAUGCCUUUCCCCUUCGGGGGACAGCGGUGACAGGUGGUGCAUGGUUGUCGUCAGCUCGUGUCGUGAGAUGUUUGGUUAAGUCCAUUAACGAGCGCAACCCUUAUGAAUAGUUGUAUUUUUCUAUUCAGACUGCCCCGGUAACGGGGAGGAAGGGGGGAUGAUGUCAGGUCAGUAUUGCCCUUACGCCCUGGGCUAGAAACGCGUUACAAUGGCCGGUACAAUGCGCUGCCAACCCGCGAGGGGGAGCAAAUCGCAUCAAAGCCGGUCCCAGUUCGGAUAAGAGGCUGAAACUCGCCUCUUUGAAGCCGGAAUCGCUAGUAAUCGUAGAUC